UGUUGGAAAUGGAAAAUGAGUCUUCGUAUCUAUAUCUUCAAUUUGAAAGGCGUCUGGGAGGUGUUGUUGUUAUUAAGUGAGGUCUUAAGUUUACAAAGCUGUCUUACGUUUCGUGUUAUAGUUCCGCAAGACGUGUGCACCUUGCGAAAAGCCGCACACUAUCGAAUGCCUCGAUCAACUCCCUAGCAUCCUCGUGGAGCAGCAGAUCUUCAACAAGCAGUGAAGAAUCUCUUUGCAGCGAAACAUCGUUCGGACCCAUUGCGAAAUCACAAUGGAAGCACAAGAAACGUAAAACCCUAGAGAUAAGAAAGGGUGAAUCUGAUGAAAUCCUAAGGUUAUAUCCUGAAAGUGUUCCAGUUGUGUUAGAAAGAGCUGAUUACUCGAAAUCUCCAACUGUAGAGAAGGAGAAGUUCUUAGUGCCAAGAUGUAUGAAGAUUGCAGAAUUUAUUAAGCUCGCUAGGAGAAGCAUGCUCUUAAGUCAUGAUAUGUCCCUAGUUCUCUUUUCUGAGAAAGGAGUUCUUCCCUUAAGGGGAACUAUGGGGGAUUUAUAUGAUGAUGAAUAUGAUGAAGAUGGAUUUUUUUAUAUUUCUUUUUGUAUUGAAACUUCAUAUGAUGCUGAAUUGCGUAGUAGAGUUUUAUGAUAUUAGAUGCAUUAAUUUUUCCAUAUCAUAGUUAAAUUAUGAUUUCAUAGAAUGUUUGAAAUAAUCUGAAAAAAAAGUAGAUUAAAAAAAAGAAUUUUUUCACAAAAAAAUUGUAGUGUUUUAGGAUGAAAUAAAUAAUUUUU